UACGGAGGGAGCUAGCGUUGUUCGGAAUUACUGGGCGUAAAGAGCGUGUAGGCGGCCCGAUAAGUCCGCCGUGAAAGUCCAGGGCUCAACCCUGGAAUGCCGGUGGAAACUGUCGGGCUGGAGUCCGGAAGAGGCGAGUGGAAUUCCUGGUGUAGCGGUGAAAUGCGCAGAUAUCAGGAGGAACACCAAUGGCGAAGGCAGCUCGCUGGGACGGUACUGACGCUGAGACGCGAAAGCGUGGGGAGCAAACAGG
rnacentral:rRNA from 1 species